rnacentral:lncRNA from 1 species
UUUAGUAACAUUUUUCCUACUGAAAAAAAAUAGUAGUAGUACUUUGUUCCCAAUAUGCACCAACUAAACUUUGUAUAUAAAAAUGGAGAUCAUUUUUUGUCAAUUUCAUUCAUCUCUUUUGGAGAAGGCACAAAAAAGAGAAAUGGAAAAAGAAACCAUGCUUCAAGCGUAUAAACUUUCAUGCUCGUCAGUUCUGCGACAUCAACCACAAGAACAGGGUACAUCUGCCUCUAUCACUACUCUUCAUUAUAUUAGCACCAUUUAAUUACAAUUGAAUCUAUUUAUUAUAUGUGUGAAAAUAAGUUAUAU